rnacentral:rRNA from 1 species
GGUUAAGCGACUAAGCGUACACGGUGGAUGCCCUGGCAGUCAGAGGCGAUGAAGGACGUGCUAAUCUGCGAAAAGCGCCGGCGAGGUGAUAUGAACCCUUGACCCGGCGAUGUCCGAAUGGGGAAACCCAGUGCAAUUCGUUGCACUAUCGUUAACUGAAUACAUAGGUUAACGAGGCGAACCGGGGGAACUGAAACAUCUAAGUACCCCGAGGAAAAGAAAUCAACCGAGAUUCCCCCAGUAGCGGCGAGCGAACGGGGAGCAGCCCGGAGUCUGAAUCAGCUUGUGUGUUAGUGGAACGGUCUGGAAAGUCCGACGGUACAGGGUGAUAGUCCCGUACACGAAAAUGCACAGGUUGUGAACUCGAAGAGUAGGGCGGGACACGUGGUAUCCUGUCUGAAUAUGGGGGGACCAUCCUCCAAGGCUAAAUACUCCUGACUGACCGAUAGUGAACCAGUACCGUGAGGGAAAGGCGAAAAGAACCCCGGCGAGGGGAGUGAAAAAGAACCUGAAACCGUGUACGUACAAGCAGUGGGAGCCUCUUUAUGGGGUGACUGCGUACCUUUUGUAUAAUGGGUCAGCGACUUAUAUUCUGUAGCAAGGUUAACCGUAUAGGGGAGCCGAAGGGAAACCGAGUCUUAACUGGGCGUUAAGUUGCAGGGUAUAGACCCGAAACCCGGUGAUCUAGCCAUGGGCAGGUUGAAGGUUGGGUAACACUAACUGGAGGACCGAACCGACUAAUGUUGAAAAAUUAGCGGAUGACCUGUGGCUGGGGGUGAAAGGCCAAUCAAACCGGGAGAUAGCUGGUUCUCCCCGAAAGCUAUUUAGGUAGCGCCUCGUGAACUCAUCUUCGGGGGUAGAGCACUGUUUCGGCUAGGGGGCCAUCCCGGCUUACCAACCCGAUGCAAACUACGAAUACCGAAGAAUGUUAUCACGGGAGACACACGGCGGGUGCUAACGUCCGUCGUGAAGAGGGAAACAACCCAGACCGCCAGCUAAGGUCCCAAAGUCAUGGUUAAGUGGGAAACGAUGUGGGAAGGCACAGACAGCCAGGAUGUUGGCUUAGAAGCAGCCAUCAUUUAAAGAAAGCGUAAUAGCUCACUGGUCGAGUCGGCCUGCGCGGAAGAUGUAACGGGGCUAAACCAUGCACCGAAGCUGCGGCAGCGACACUAUGUGUUGUUGGGUAGGGGAGCGUUCUGUAAGCCGUUGAAGGUGUGCUGUGAGGCAUGCUGGAGGUAUCAGAAGUGCGAAUGCUGACAUAAGUAACGAUAAAGCGGGUGAAAAGCCCGCUCGCCGGAAGACCAAGGGUUCCUGUCCAACGUUAAUCGGGGCAGGGUGAGUCGACCCCUAAGGCGAGGCCGAAAGGCGUAGUCGAUGGGAAACAGGUUAAUAUUCCUGUACUUGGUGUUACUGCGAAGGGGGGACGGAGAAGGCUAUGUCAGCCGGGCGACGGUUGUCCCGGUUUAAGCAUGUAGGCGGAGGUUCCAGGUAAAUCCGGUACCUUUUAACGCUGAGGUGUGAUGACGAGGCACUACGGUGCUGAAGUGAUAAAUGCCCUGCUUCCAGGAAAAGCCUCUAAGCAUCAGGUAACACGAAAUCGUACCCCAAACCGACACAGGUGGUCAGGUAGAGAAUACCAAGGCGCUUGAGAGAACUCGGGUGAAGGAACUAGGCAAAAUGGUGCCGUAACUUCGGGAGAAGGCACGCUGAUAGGUAGGUGAAGCCCCUGCGGGCGGAGCUGAAAUCAGUCGAAGAUACCAGCUGGCUGCAACUGUUUAUUAAAAACACAGCACUGUGCAAACACGAAAGUGGACGUAUACGGUGUGACGCCUGCCCGGUGCCGGAAGGUUAAUUGAUGGGGUUAGCGGCAACGCGAAGCUCUUGAUCGAAGCCCCGGUAAACGGCGGCCGUAACUAUAACGGUCCUAAGGUAGCGAAAUUCCUUGUCGGGUAAGUUCCGACCUGCACGAAUGGCGUAAUGAUGGCCAGGCUGUCUCCACCCGAGACUCAGUGAAAUUGAACUCGCUGUGAAGAUGCAGUGUACCCGCGGCAAGACGGAAAGACCCCGUGAACCUUUACUAUAGCUUGACACUGAACACUGGUCCUUGAUGUGUAGGAUAGGUGGGAGGCUUUGAAGCGUGGACGCCAGUCUGCGUGGAGCCAACCUUGAAAUACCACCCUUUAAUGGCUGGUGUUCUAACGUAGACCCGUGAUCCGGGUUGCGGACAGUGUCUGGUGGGUAGUUUGACUGGGGCGGUCUCCUCCCAAAGAGUAACGGAGGAGCACGAAGGUUGGCUAAUCCUGGUCGGACAUCAGGAGGUUAGUGCAAUGGCAUAAGCCAGCUUGACUGCGAGCGUGACGGCGCGAGCAGGUGCGAAAGCAGGUCAUAGUGAUCCGGUGGUUCUGAAUGGAAGGGCCAUCGCUCAACGGAUAAAAGGUACUCCGGGGAUAACAGGCUGAUACCGCCCAAGAGUUCAUAUCGACGGCGGUGUUUGGCACCUCGAUGUCGGCUCAUCACAUCCUGGGGCUGAAGUAGGUCCCAAGGGUAUGGCUGUUCGCCAUUUAAAGUGGUACGCGAGCUGGGUUUAGAACGUCGUGAGACAGUUCGGUCCCUAUCUGCCGUGGGCGCUGGAGAAUUGAGGGGGGCUGCUCCUAGUACGAGAGGACCGGAGUGGACGCAUCACUGGUGUUCGGGUUGUCAUGCCAAUGGCACUGCCCGGUAGCUAAAUGCGGAAGAGAUAAGUGCUGAAAGCAUCUAAGCACGAAACUUGCCCCGAGAUGAGUUCUCCCUGAGACUUUAAGUCUCCUGAAGGAACGUUGAAGACGACGACGUUGAUAGGUCGGGUGUGUAAGCGCAGCGAUGCGUUGAGCUAACCGAUACUAAUGAACCGUGAGGCUUAACCUU